UAACGCGAAGAACCUUACCUGGGCUUGAUAUCCUAAGAACCUUAUAGAGAUAUGAGGGUGCUAGCUUGCUAGAACUUAGAGACAGGUGCUGCACGGCUGUCGUCAGCUCGUGUCGUGAGAUGUUGGGUUAAGUCCCGCAACGAGCGCAACCCACGUAUUUAGUUGCUAACACUUCGGGUGAGCACUCUAAAUAGACUGCCUUCGUAAGGAGGAGGAAGGUGUGAACGACGUCAAGCCAUCAUGGCCCUUAUGCCCAGGGCGACACACGUGCUACAAUGGCAUAUACAAUGAGACGCAAUACCGCGAGGUGGAGCAAAUCUAUAAAAUAUGUCCCAGUUCGGAUUGUUCUCUGCAACUCGAGAGCAUGAAGCCGGAAUCGCUAGUAAUCGUAGAUCAGCAUGCCGCGGUGAAUA
rnacentral:rRNA from 1 species